GUGCUCACUUCAGCAGCACUUAUACUAACAUUGGAACGAUACAAAGAUUAGCAUGGCCCUCAUGCAAGGAUGACACGCACAUUCUUGAAGUGUUCCAUAUUUUU
ensembl:snRNA U6 U6 spliceosomal RNA